CUCUUUCCUCUUCCCCUUCCCCCUCCUCUCUCCCCCCUUAUUCAAAUCUCUCUCUCUCUCUCCUCCAUUUCUCCAUUGGGGUCUCCUCCUUCGUUGCUCCCCCAUGGAAAAGGACCUCUUUUAUGGCGGCGCCCCCAAAUGGGUGCCAGGCGCCGGUACCACCUCCGCGUCCGAGCUCACCGAGCUCAACAAUGGCUUCCUCAACCUCUCGACCUGGGACCAAUCCAACUUCGACUCGGCGCUGAGCUCCCUCGUCUCCUCCCCCUCCCCUUCCCCUUCCUCCUCCUCCCCCGCCCUCGACAACUUCGUCAUCCGAGAGCUCAUCGGCCGCCUCGGCACCAUCUGCAGCGCCUCCGGCGACGCCUCCCCCACCUUCGCCGGCUCCGGCGGCGGCAGCGGCAGCGGCCCCACUUCCN
rnacentral:lncRNA from 1 species